AACGAACGCUGGCAGCAUGCCUAACACAUGCAAGUCGAACGAGACCUUCGGGUCUAGUGGCGCACGGGUGCGUAACGCGUGGGAACCUGCCCUUAGGUUCGGAAUAACUCCCCGAAAGGGGUGCUAAUACCGGAUAAUGUCUUCGGACCAAAGAUUUAUCGCCUUUGGAUGGGCCCGCGUUGGAUUAGCUAGUUGGUAGGGUAAAAGCCUACCAAGGCGACGAUCCAUAGCUGGUCGGAGAGGAUGAUCAGCCACACUGGGACUGAGACCAGGCCCGAACUCCAAGGGAGGCAGCAGUGGGGAAUAUUGGACAAUGGGCGAAAGCCUGAUCCAGCAAUGCCGCGUGAGUGAUGAAGGCCUUAGGGUUGUAAAGCUCUUUUACCCGGGAUGAUAAUGACAGUACCGGGAGAAUAAGCUCCGGCUAACUCCGUG
rnacentral:rRNA from 1 species